AGAGUUUGAUCAUGGCUCAGGAUGAACGCUAGCUGGAGGCUUAAUACAUGCAAGUCGAGCGGGAUUGGUAGCAAUACCAUGAGAGCGGCGAACGGGUGAGUAACACGUGAGCGAUCUGCCCUCGACACUGGGAUAGCCCGGGGAAACCCGGACUAAUACCGGAUAGCCUCUCGAGCUUUCGGGCUCGUGAGAAAAGAUGGCUUCGGCUUUCGGUCGAGGAGGAGCUUGCGGCGGAUUAGCUUGUUGGUGAGGUAACGGCUCACCAAGGCGACGAUCCGUAGCUGGUCUGAGAGGACGAUCAGCCACACUGGGACUGAGACACGGCCCAGACUCCUACGGGAGGCAGCAGUGGGGAAUCUUGCGCAAUGGGCGAAAGCCUGACGCAGCGACGCCGCGUGAGGGAAGAAGGCCUUCGGGUUGUAAACCUCUUUCAGGAGGGACGAAGCUACUCGGGUUAAUAGCCCAGAGGGUGACGGUACCUCCAGAAGAAGCCCCGGCUAACUACGUGCCAGCAGCCGCGGUAAUUC
rnacentral:rRNA from 1 species